rnacentral:rRNA from 1 species
AUGCGACAAGAUGUCAUUCAGGAAUUUGUGGCGCUUUAUCAAAGAAUAGGGCCUUAUCUACCGAUCGAGCCCUACUUGGUUGAUGAAGCGCUUCGUUCCUAUCUGGACCAUAUUCACGCAACUGAUUCUUUCACUGUUCUCCAAGCGUCUUAUCAAGAUCUGCGGGAGAAUGAAGGAGAUCUGUUUUCUUUAGAGAUUUUGUUUCACAACCGGGAUCUCCUUGAGGCGGAAAGCUCCGCAAGGAGGUGCCUGGAAGUGGAACAGAGGAUCCGAUGGGAAGAAAUCCCCAAGAGCAAGGCAAGUCUCGAAAGAGCUGAGCACGAGCAUGCUCUCGACUUGUUUAAGUCGGAGGAUCUUAGAAGGGAAUUAGAAACAAAAAAAGCGGGGUAG